rnacentral:rRNA from 1 species
AACGUAGGAGACGAACGUUAUCCGGAGUUACUGGGCGUAAAGGGCGUGUAGGCGGUUUGUUAAGUCUGGCGUGAAAGCUCUCGGCUAAACCGGGAGAGGUCGUUGGAUACUGGCGAACUAGAGGAUGGUAGAGGCGUGUGGAAUUCCGGGUGUAGUGGUGAAAUGCGUAGAGAUCGGGAGGAACACCUGUGGCAAAGGCGGCCGACUGGGCCGACCCUGACGCUGAGGCGCGAAGGCGUGGGGAGCGAACGGG